UGACUGCGUACAAGCGGGCGAGGUCGUCCU
rnacentral:sRNA from 1 species